GGAGAGGUGGGUGAGUGGCUGAAACCACCGGUUUGCUAAACCGACGUACCCGUAAGGGUACCGCGGGUUCGAAUCCCGCCCUCUCCG
rnacentral:tRNA from 1 species